rnacentral:rRNA from 1 species
GAUGAACGCUGGCGGCGUGCUUAACACAUGCAAGUCGAACGAUGAAGCCCAGCUUGCUGGGUGGAUUAGUGGCGAACGGGUGAGUAACACGUGAGUAACCUGCCCUUGACUCUAGGAUAAGCCCGGGAAACUGGGUCUAAUACUGGAUAGGAACGUCUACCGCAUGGUGGAUGUUGGAAAGAAUUUCGGUCAUGGAUGGACUCGCGGCCUAUCAGCUUGUUGGUGAGGUAAUGGCUCACCAAGGCGACGACGGGUAGCCGGCCUGAGAGGGUGACCGGCCACACUGGGACUGAGACACGGCCCAGACUCCUACGGGAGGCAGCAGUGGGGAAUAUUGCACAAUGGGCGAAAGCCUGAUGCAGCGACGCCGCGUGAGGGAUGACGGCCUUCGGGUUGUAAACCUCUUUCAGUAGGGAAGAAGCGAAAGUGACGGUACCUGCAGAAGAAGCACCGGCUAACUACGUGCCAGCAGCCGCGGUAAUACGUAGGGUGCGAGCGUUAUC